GUGCUCACUUCGGCAGCACAUACACUAAAACUUGGAACGAUACUGAGAAGAUUAGUAUGGCCCCUGGACAAGGAUGAUAUGCAAAUUCCAGAAGUGUUCCAUAUUUUU
ensembl:snRNA U6 U6 spliceosomal RNA